GCGGCGGGUAGGGUCGGAGGCCUGCCCUCUCCCUGGCCAGCAAUGGGCAUCAGCUGGGACCAGUAACUGGGGGUGUAAAAGGCGGGGCCGACGGGAGGAAAGCGGGCCAAAUGGGCGCUGAACCCUUACCCCCUGGGGGCCGAGGGCCCGAGUUCCCUUCCGGAGGGAAGGGAAGCGGGUUAGCCGCCGGGAACGGACUAGGCCCGGAAGGGAGCAGUCACACCGGCGAACUCGGUCGUUCAGGGGUGAUGGGCAAGCCCAUCCGCGAUCCGAACGCCGAAUCCUGCCUGGCGCCUUCAGGGCCGCCGC
rnacentral:SRP_RNA from 1 species